rnacentral:rRNA from 1 species
GACGAACGCUGGCGGCGUGCUUAACACAUGCAAGUCGAACGGAAAGGCCCUGCUUUUGUGGGGUGCUCGAGUGGCGAACGGGUGAGUAACACGUGAGUAACCUGCCCUUGACUUUGGGAUAACUUCAGGAAACUGGGGCUAAUACCGGAUAGGAGCUCCUGCUGCAUGGUGGGGGUUGGAAAGUUUCGGCGGUUGGGGAUGGACUCGCGGCUUAUCAGCUUGUUGGUGGGGUAGUGGCUUACCAAGGCUUUGACGGGUAGCCGGCCUGAGAGGGUGACCGGCCACAUUGGGACUGAGAUACGGCCCAGACUCCUACGGGAGGCAGCAGUGGGGAAUAUUGCACAAUGGGCCGAAGCCUGAUGCAGCAACGCCGCGUGCGGGAUGACGGCCUUCGGGUUGUAAACCGCUUUCGCCUGUGACGAAGCGUGAGUGACGGUAAUGGAUAAAGAAGCACCGGCUAACUACGUG